CACGUAGGGCGCAAGCGUUGUCCGGAAUUAUUGGGCGUAAAGAGCUCGUAGGCGGACUGUCACGUCCGCUGUGAAAAGCUAGGGCUUAACCCUGGCCUUGCAGUGGAUACGGGCAGACUAGAGGUAGGUAGGGGAGAAUGGAAUUCCCGGUGUAGCGGUGAAAUGCGCAGAUAUCGGGAGGAACACCGGUGGCGAAGGUGGUUCUCUGGGCCUUACCUGACGCUGAGGAGCGAAAGCGUGGGGAGCGAACAGG
rnacentral:rRNA from 1 species